ACAAACCCUUUCUUCCUUUUGAAUUAGAGAAGCUGCCGGAAAACCACCUACGCAGGUUUGGUUCAACCCGAUUUUCCCAUCAAAACACACCAAAUCCCCCCCAAAUCAUCGGACCCUUCCUUCAGCAACCAUCAACCCUCAAAAAAGACCACCUUUGAGUUUCAAAAAUCCAAGACGCAACCCGACCACUCAUCGGACCCUUCCUUCAGUCACCGACCCAAAAUCAGACCUACAUCUCAGAAUCUCAGCCAAGUUACAUCCUUUUGUUUUUAAAUAUUUACAGUCCUUCAAAGAAACUCGCCCCAAAAGUAUCUAGCUCAGCCCAGUCACAGCAGUUCCAAGAGAGGAAACCAACACUGUUUUAGCGAGAAGAAAGUGGCAACGACAGUAGUUAUGACCUGAAGGAGACGAAAGCAGUACUAAAGAGCAUCAACGACCUCCCUUUAUAUAAAGAAUAGCUUGGAUUAGAAGAGGGAAGGCGCGGAGAAAUAAUAGCAGCACAGCGACUGGUAAGUUUUUCCCUUUAUUGCUUCGAACUCUUAGGCUUUCCCCUUGUGUAUUUGGAUUGCUAUGGUACGAGAACAUGAUUAGAGUUUGUAUAUGAUUAGGUCAGAUGGUAUUGUUUUUGGUUUCACUCAAGUCCAGUUUCUCUGCUGUCAGGGAACCAUUAUCGUUUUGGAAUGCAUAGCUUAGAUACUUACUGAUAGUAGAUAGGAUUUUGGCAUCUUUUUGCAUAUCAUGGAGAGUGGUUCUGAUAUCAAGUUUCUUGUUUAGCCAUGAACAAAUAUUUGACCAUCUUCUAUGCUCAUUGCUUGAUCUGUUUUCCUUGGGAGUGCAAAUGUGUUAGUCAAAAUGAUGAACAGUUCUGGGAAAGCUUGUUUCAUUCUUUUUCUUUCUUUUGGGUUGUAUUCUUUGAGCUUUGGGUCCCAAGAUUAUAUCUUCCUUGUUUCUGUGGGCUGCACUGCUUUAUAUAAGCCAUGUGUUCUUGAUGGGUUGGGACCGGUUCUUUUCACAUUUUCUUUGGGCUAUUAAAAAAAGGCUACAAGAUUUAUUUUAAUAUGGCCGGGUCCUUUAAAAAUUCAUUAAAAAAUGUUUUUGCAUUAUGUUUCAUGCUAGCCUUUUCAAAAAACAAAAAAAAAUCAAAGUAAAAAAAAAAAUAAUUUUGUAUAUUUGAACAUUUGUAAGAAUAUUUUGUUUAAGCACUUUCAUGAAAAAAUAAAAAAUAUUUUACAUGCAUAUUUGAACUUAAAUAACUAGCUUAUUAAAUCAAUUAUAAUUUGGUCAAAAUUAAAAAAACUCGGAUAAAUAUAUCCAAAAUUUCAAAAUAAUAAAACCCUCCAUCUUAUAAAUAUUUUUGUCAAUGUUUGGGUCAGUGAAUUCAUAGCGAAUUACCGUCUUGAACAAUAAAAACAAAUAACACAAUUCUUGAAUUUUUUAAAAAUAUUUAUUUGUUUAUUUAUUUACUAAUAUCAGAAUCAUAAAUGUUUAUAUUUACUAAUGUGAAAAUUUAAAAUGUUUUUAUUACUCACUAAUACCAGAAUUAAGAAUAUUAGUAUUGAAAUUAAAAUUAACUUUGAACCUCAAAUAUUUACUAACAUCAAAGCCCAAAAUAUUAGAUAAUUUCUUCAUGUUAUUUACUAGUAUCAUAGAUAGAAGUAUUUUUAAUUGAAUAUUCAACAAUGCUAAAAUCAUGAAUAUUAUAGACAUAUCAUCAACAACACAAUAAAUUCUUAAUAAUUUUAAAUAAAACCAACAAUAAUAUAUUUUUUAUGGUGUAACUAGUCACAUACUCUACUGACUAGUUAAAUUUUCUAAUUAUCAUAACGUUAUGGUGAUUUGUUAAAUUAGAUAUUUUCCUUUUAAAAAAAGUCACCAUGGUGUAACAAUAAUAAAAAAAUUAAUAAUAAGAAUCCGAGUUUUGCCGCAAGUACCGUGGGCACUAGAUUCACAGUUAUAAAGACCAAAUGCUAUUAAUACUUAAUUUAUAACCAAAAUCUAACCUUUUUCAUUUUUUAAUACAAAUAUUAAAAAUAAUUUAAAAAUAAAAUUCUUAUUUUCUUAAUUUUUUGUGCAAGUAAGAAAAUAAGUUCAAUAUUCUUAAAAUCAACCUCCAAUGUAAAAUUCCCUUCUACCAAAAUCACAUCGAUGAAAAAAAUUUAAGCUUUGUUUCUUCUCUUCUUAAUUUUCUUUUUUAUUGUUUUAACCAGGGAGAAGAACCUUUUUAUACAAUUUUUUUUAGUUUUUAAUCUGAUUGGUUUUAAAAUCUUACUAAUUUUGGUAUUUUUAUUGAAAAUUAUUUUGAAACUAUAAUUUUGUUUUUCAUGUUAACAUCUAUUAUUAUUUAUUGAAUUCUUAAUUAGAAAUGGGCCGGAAUCUCUUAGUUUAAUGGACAAGCGUUAGGUGCAUGCCAUUGUAGAGUCAUUAAUUGCAGACAUAUAUCAAAUAACAUAACCAUGUUUGGGCCUCAACUGUCACGACUGUGACUAGAGAGUGGCUGGCUAGCCACUGCUGUUAGUGCAGUUCAAGAAAGAGGAGAAGAUGCAGAGAUGGGGCUGGCUAGCUACUGCCUGCUGCUGUUAGUGCAGUUAAUUAAGAAGGGAGAGGUUUUCAAAAGAAAAAAAGGAGGACCCUCGUCGAGUCAAGCGCUACUGUGACCAAGCGCAUGCAAGAAACAAGGAAGAAGUGAUUUCCCAGUAGGAAUUUUAAUCAACUCAUCAGGAUUCCUGAAAAACUAACCGGUUCCUUUGCUGGAACUCAGAAAUAUAUAAAAGCUGCAGCUGUUUGCAUUGAAAGAGGUACAAAAAAACAGUACUAAUUGCUCUUCAGUCUUCCCUUUGGUUUAUCGGGUAGCGAUGGAUACAUAUGAACUGUCUAGCUACAUUUUGUUUACUUUAUUCUCAGAAGCACCAGUAUUUGGUGCAUGUUGAUCUUUCCAUGAUGCCUGCCAUUGCUUGUCAUAGAAGGUUGCUUCAUCAACCAGCUUUCUCAGGUUUUUGAAAUCUUCUGUUCGCCUAAAAAGUAUUAUGCCAGUGACAGUCACAAAAAGUACGGUUUUGCAGAUGAAGUUUCCUG
rnacentral:lncRNA from 1 species